UCCAAGUUUGUCUCUGUGUUCCUCCCCCCUCAGCCUCCUCUAAGAGCGCUCCUGCUUAGGGAGCGGAAGGCUUGAUGGCUUACCUGCCCUCCCUACCCAUCAGGGUGCCUGGCGCUGUCAAGUUAUACUCAGCGACCUCACAGUUUCUGUUUUUUCAGUGUGGCUGUUCUCAGCAAGAUGUUGGGAGGAAAGUAAUUAGAUUAUACUAAUUCACUCUAAGGUGGUAGGAAAGGACACUAGACCUUUUGCAUUUUUAAUGGGUUUAUAUUUUUAAGAGAAAAUUUUGUGUAACACAGGCAGUGUAACAGAGAAAAGUAAGACAUUUCAGGCAAUGUUGAAGAAAAUGUUUUGCAUUGGGAGGCAAAUAUGAGGCAGGUUGGCCUCACUUUGUGUUAGUACCUGCUUUUCUAGGUUGCUUCCUUUCUUCUAGUUCUGAGAGCUCCCAAAUUUUAAAAUGAUUGUCAUACAGAGAAUGAAAACAGUUUAUAAGUUACUGCUUAGAGCUGAAGAUUACUCUUAUCUUCCUUUUAGGGGAUAUGUUUGUUAAGAUGAUAUUCUGGUAUAACUUGGCUUUCAUAGUUGUGGUCUAGUUCUCUUUAAUCUGGGUUGCUUAGUCUUACCCCCCCUCAAAAAAAUCAUUUAUUAUUUAAAGAAUUACACCCUUAUUCCAAAAGGAUUUGUGGUGGGUAAAAGAAUGUAUAAUUGUUUGUCUGAUUUUUCUUAACUUUUAUUUGCUGCAGUGCUUUUUUUUUUUUUUUUUUUUUUCCCCCCAAUUGUAGGUGCUUCUAAAGUAAAGAAAUAUCGUAAGUUAAUUUUAGAGCAGGCAAAAACAACAAGCCUGGAACUGGUUCCAGAAGAGCCAUCUGAGCCUGUGCCACCUCUUAUAGUUGAUCAUGAGAGAUUGAAGAAAUUGCUUGAUUUGUUGGUAGAUAAAAGCAACAAUCUGGCAGUUGAUCAACUUGAGAGAUUAUAUUCUCUUCUUAGUCAGUGCAUCUACCGUCACCGUAAAGAUUAUGACAAAUCACAACUUGUAGAGGAGAUGGAAAGAACAGUUCAUAUGUUUGAGACAUUCCUAUGAACCUUUCAAGAAGAGUGGUUUAUCCUCUCCAAUCUGCUCCUGCCAGAGCAGUCUUCUGAGCCAUUCAAUUUCAAAUUGCACCAAUUAUGUGCAGAGCCUUGGUGUAAAGUGCUCUCUCACUCAUUCUUUCUCUCUGUUGAAUUUGGUGCUAUUGUCUCAGGUACCUGAAACCAACCAGCCUACAAGAACCAAACAGAACUUCAGAAACAUGUUGUAUUUUCCACAAAUAAAAAAUACAACCCCACAGAUUGGAGAUUUUGGUGCUACAGAAACUGCUCUCACUUCCGCUCCUCCUUUUGUGCGCUCUCUUUUGGAGACCUCUCUUAGGGAGCAGGCCAGCAAACACGAGGAAACGGGAUGGGGCAGUUCUAAGUGUGUUGAAUUGUUUAAACAGUGGGCAACCUGUAUCCCCCCCCGCGCCCCCCUUUUAUCAUAUUUGUUUUUAUUUUUUCUUCUGGGUAACGGACUGAAGCCUGUUUUAAAGUUGGCUAUGGUAUAUUCUGGUGGGAAACUGAAGAAACUGGAUGAAAUUAGAUUAGGCUCUUUAGAACUGCCUUUAAUGUGCCUUUUUAUUCGAGAAAGAUAAGGCUAAACACAAGGAUGGGCUUACUUGUAGCAAAUGAAUUAGAAUGUUUUCUUUGGUCAAAACCCUGAAAGUAAGUUUUGAUACUCUGUAUCAUUAAGAGGCAACCAGUGUUUUGGUAUAAAAUGCCUAUCUUGUUUUCAAAACUCGAUCAAGACAGUGGUUAAGCCACAUAAUAUACUAAAAUGGUAAGUUUUCCUGUAUGGUCCGUUUCUGUUUAAGAAACAUAUAAUAAAAGAACAACAACAAAAAAUGCACAGUCCAUCAAAAAACAUACACCCUUUUUGGUAUGGAUGACAAUGAUGGUCAGAAAAUAGAGUGACAUUCUAUUUUCUUCUGUCAAUGGCAGUUUAAUAGUUAUUCAUGUUUGAGUUCCCCGAGAAGAACGAUUUUCAUGUAUAAUAAAUUGUUACAGUUUUGGUUUAAAGCCAGGACUUGCCAAAUGGACAGAAAAGAGAGGAAUUUGUCAGAAGUUCCAUAAAAUUCAUUUUCUAUAUGCAUAGUUGCAAGUGAGCUCUGGUAUGGUCCUUGAAUAACAGUAUUAAUGUUUAAAUCCCUUAUCAUAAGCUUACCUUCACAAUUAUUCAUUUUGAUUGGAACCUGUUUUGGAUCUUGUUAAGCGAUUUCUGUGACUUGUACUUAUCUAAAAUUAAUUAAUGGGUUACUAGUUUUACAAAAACUUUCUACAAAUUCAGAGACACAGUCUAGGCAGUUGCAAAGAGACAAAGGGAGUGCAGUGACAUUUUUUAUCAGAUGAUUUUUAAACAAAAAAGUAGAAAAUUUUGACAAGUUUUCUUAAUAUCUUCAUUCAUUAUAGCUGUUAGCUGCAGGUGUGUCUUUACAAUAUAUGCAACACAUGUAGUUUGGGUUUUAAUUAGAGCAAACAGUCUUGGACUACUGCAGAGAAAAUGAGCUACCUCAGCUUUUUGUAUUUUAGUUACCAACAGUGUCUACAGAGUUCUGUAUUCACUUUGCCACCGUUUACAUGCUGAAGCUAAGGUACUUGUCUCCUCGUCUCUGGCUUUGUAGGGUGCCGGAUGCCAGCGCAGAAAGCACACUUUGGCCAAGGCUACUGCAGUAAUCUGAAGUGCUUCUUUGCAUUUACAUUAACAUUUUAUGCCUUCUAAUUCUAGUUUAAUUUUUAAAUAAUGCCACUUGUUUUCUUUAUACCUAGGAAGUUUUCAUAAUAUUCAGUUAGUCAUAUAUAAUUCAAGAUACUACCCAUGUAGACACACUGUAUUUUAAGGUGGGCAAGUGCGAUUAACGAUGAACCAAUUUUAAAGGGGAGGUUAUUUGAAACCUCUAAUUUGAUUAUUGGGAGGAUUUUCAUGCUUACUUUAGUAUUUAUUACCAUCAUACCAGUUCAAGCUAUUUUACAGUCUAAUACAUUAGCAUUUUGUAUUUUGAUGGAAAUUGUUACAGAAUUUAAAGAUUUGAUGAAAUAAGAUGUAGCAGAUUUUUUGUAGCAAGUUUCUGGUAAAAGGGUUUUUUGCAAGUCUCAGGUUCUUGCUGCACUAUUUUUCUUUAAAUAUUUAUUCCAGUUACUCUAAUUCAGAAGCAUUCUGUUCAAGUAACAGCAGCACUUGUGAAUGGAAAAAAAAAUGCACAUGUUCUUAGUAGUUUACUAAAUUUGUACAAGUUAAUUAAGAUUUUAGCCAUCAGUGAGUUUGACAAGGGAAAUUUAUUUCUGUUUAGCAUUAAAAUGCUUCCAAAAGAUCAAGUUUUUUAAUUUUAACCUUGAUAUAGAUGGAGAAAUAGGAGGCAACCUCAGUAUGAUAGGAACUGCCACUUUGAACAGUUUAGGUCUUAAAGAGAAAGCCAAUCUAAUGCCAAGGGGAGAAAAAUGAGCUGAAAUUGUACCAACUCCUCUGGCCCCUUUCCCCCCACACACUAUACCAGUUUUUCUUAUUUUACAGAUAUCUGGUGGUUCUAUAGUUUAAAGCAGCUUGUGAAAUUAUCCAAGUGGACUCAAUUUUGUUUACCUUUCUGUAAGUUCUUAAUUUUUGCCGUAUAGCAUUGGCAAAAAUAUGUACAAAUUGACCUCUGUUCUUAUUUCCUAUUGUGAGCAUUAUAAAUGAUAAGCUCCUGUGUAAAACCUUGCUCUCAGAUCACUAAAAUAUGUAUCACGGCACAGCCCAACAAUAGUUAAUGCUCAGCUGUGGGGACCAUAGGAGCCUUUCGAAGAUGAUGGAACCGCACUAGGGUUGAAACUGAUGGCUGUGGAGUUAAUUGUGUUUUUGAGCUUGAAUCUCACCUGUGAUUAAUUAUUAUUUUUUUUUUUAUGUCCUUUCAUGACUUGAUUUUUCUCAUAUGCCAAUGUAUUUGUAGGUUUACUGGAUUUUAUUUUUAGGGAGUGGGGUGGUAAUAUCUUCCCAUUUUUUGAUUAAGUUGGUUCAGCUAUGGUGCUAUUCAGUAGGUAUCUUCAGUGUCAGGUCCCGUAGCUGAAUGCCAUUGUUAUUAUAAUUAUUAUUUGUAAUCACAUUGUAAGCUUGAAUUUGGACUUGUACCUACAUCUUUUGUAUUUUGUACAUUUGGUUAUUUAGACUUUGGGAGUCCUCUUUGGUUUCAGUCAUGUGUGUCUACUUUGCAGAUUAAGUAGACUUCAUCAACUAUGGUCUGUUUUGGGUUUGAGGUUUAAUUUAGAAUUGUGUUAAGUUGAUAUUUUGCAUUUGACUUCAUUUUACAUUAGUUUGAAAUAAAUUAUUUAAUUUUUGAAUUCUGGAAUUUUGAACAUUUACUGUAAUUUGUAAUAUAACUGCUGUGAAAUACUUGAAUAAAGAUGACAAGAAAAACAUGUCUUUCUUUAGCUUAAUUAUGAUUACUGUUGGCUGCAAAUGCA